rnacentral:rRNA from 1 species
GGCCACAGCCAUAUCAGUCUGCAGCCAAAGACCGGUUACUCACUGAAGCUAAGCAGGGCUGAGCCUGGCCAAUACCUGGAUAGGAGACCACAUGGGAAAACUAGGUUGCUGUUGGAA